UACGUAGGGUGCAAGCGUUACUCGGAAUUACUGGGCGUAAAGCGUGCGCAGGCGGUUUUGUAAGUCUGACGUGAAAUCCCCGGGCUCAAACUGGGAAUUGCGUUGGAGACUGCAAGGCUGGAGUCUGGCAGAGGGGGGUAGAAUUCCACGUGUAGCAGUGAAAUGCGUAGAGAUGUGGAGGAACACCGAUGGCGAAGGCAGCCCCCUGGGUCAAGACUGACGCUCAUGCACGAAAGCGUGGGGAGCAAACAGG
rnacentral:rRNA from 1 species